rnacentral:rRNA from 1 species
GAUGAACGCUGGCGGCGUGCCUAAUACAUGCAAGUCGAGCGAACAGACGAGGAGCUUGCUCCUCUGACGUUAGCGGCGGACGGGUGAGUAACACGUGGAUAACCUACCUAUAAGACUGGGAUAACUUCGGGAAGCCGGAGCUAAUACCGGAUAAUAUAUUGAACCGCAUGGUUCAAUAGUGAAAGACGGUUUUGCUGUCACUUAUAGAUGGAUCCGCGCCGCAUUAGCUAGUUGGUAAGGUAACGGCUUACCAAGGCGACGAUGCGUAGCCGACCUGAGAGGGUGAUCGGCCACACUGGAACUGAGACACGGUCCAGACUCCUACGGGAGGCAGCAGUAGGGAAUCUUCCGCAAAGGGCGAAAGCCUGACGGAGCAACGCCGCGUGAGUGAUGAAGGUCUUCGGAUCGUAAAACUCUGUUAUUAGGGAAGAACAAAUGUGUAAGUAACUAUGCACGUCUUGACGGUACCUAAUCAGAAAGCCGCGGCUAACUACGUG